rnacentral:lncRNA from 1 species
GCCAGAUCACAGUGAAUUUUAUUUAAUUACGUGCAACUUGUUCACUUAUACAUUUUCCUCUGUUGAGACAAUCCAGAAGCUACUCAGGAUACUUAUUUGCUUAUUCCUCUAAUUAAGCAAAGCUAUCUAUAGCCUAGAAUGCUAAUCUAAAACUGCAUUUUGUUUCUGCAGCAAUGAUCUCUGUCCAACCCCACAGCACAUUCCGGCAUUUGCACUGUGCCGUGGACGCCGCUGCAUUGUGCAUGCUCCAGGCUAUGUUUGUGGACAGUCACGUCGCCGCGGAAGUCAAGCUCAUUUGUCAUCCUUGCUAGGCACUUGCAGGGCUGCCUGAAGAGAAAAAUAUCUGAAAGCAGGCAGUGACGAAGGAAAAUCAGCCCUGACUCUCUUGUCUCGUACUUAAAUAUGAUUCUUAAUGGACCUACAUUUCAAACUCCUGGAUCCCUUCUCAAGCUCCAAGUGCCUUAAGUUUGAGUUGACGUGGCGAGUGUGGGAGAAAGUAAGAAACAUUAAAUACUUGCAAUUUACACUUUGGGAGUUUCCAAAAUUCAACUCAUUCAUUUUUUUUUCCAGCAAAUAUUUUAUUGAGUGUCUGGUCACCACCUUGUGUGCUGCUCUGAAAACCUGCUAUAACUGCACAAAGGUGGCAGAGCACAUUGCUCUUAAUUCCCAUGGCUUUCUUGGGAAACUGUACACUACCACUGCAGUCACAAUAUGGUCUUCCUCUCUUCCCAGCCACCCCCACCAUAAAGCUACCUGAAAUAAGGGCACAUUACAUAUUUUCUGAUGGUCUUUCCUCUGUAGAGAAAUGUAGAUCCUGGAUAAAGACCCUUGGCAAGGACCUUUUUCCUCUGCCUGAUAUUUGUAUUCAAGCAAAAUAAUGAUAGUAAGAGUAAGCAUUUAGAAAGUGUUGACUAUGUAGCCUAGCACUGCUCCGACACUUUACGUUUAUUAAUAGACGACUGAGGCUAGCUUUGAUCAAUAAAAUCACGUGAGUAGGCACAUUUGCCACUCGGUGGUACAAGAAGGAGUCCCUAUGGCAUCGCAUGACUGUCCAUGGAGUUUCCAGAGAGGUGAUAACUGAUGCUGUGAACUCCUGGUUUCCAGGAAACGGCUCUAAGCUUGUCUCUAAGGUAUCUAAACAAAUAUUUUAUUAUCUUCUGGGAAUUCUGAUCCUGCAACCUAAAUCAAAGAUCCCAAACACUAAAUCAAAUUUUUGUGGCCUUCAAAGCUUAAUAUGAAAAUUACCAGUGAUGUUUUUCUUCCCCCAUAAUAUGACAUUAGGAGCUUAGUAAUGCAUAUCUAGAUGUGAGUUGACAUUUACACUUGUUAUUUGUUGGGAAGGAUGAGUAUGCUUCAUAAUUUAUAUGUAUCAAAUAUCUUCAUUUGUGUAAAUCAAAGAGUUACUAAUAAAAAUGCUAAGAGAAGCUGGA